GUAGGUGGCAAGCGUUGUCCGGAAUUAUUGGGCGUAAAGCGCGCGCAGGCGGGUUCUUUAAGUCUGAUGUGAAAGCCCACGGGCUCAACCGUGGAGGGUCAUUGGAAACUGGAGAACUUGAGUACAGAAGAGGAAAGCGGAAUUCCACGUGUAGCGGUGAAAUGCGUAGAGAUGUGGAGGAACACCAGUGGCGAAGGCGGCUUUCUGGUCUGUAACUGACGCUGAGGCGCGAAAGCGUGGGGAGCAAACAGGAUUAGAUACCCUGGUAGUCCACGCCGUAAACGAUGAGUGCUAAGUGUUAGGGGGUUUCCGCCCCUUAGUGCUGCAACUAACGCAUUAAACACUCCGCCUGGGGAGUACGGCCGCAAAGGCUG
rnacentral:rRNA from 1 species